CCAAAAGUGCUGGGAUUAGAGGUGUGAGCCACUGCGCCUGGCCCUAAAAACUCUUGAACAAAGAAAUGUGGUGAGCUUCCCAGCUGGUGAACACAUCCACCAUGGGAAGAUGGUGUGGUGUACCCCAACUCCAUGGGGACAGAGACUCCUGCACUUGGGAUCCUUCUGGACCUCAUUCUACAUACCUCUUCACCUGGCUGUUCAUCCCUUUAUUAUAUAUAUAUAUCUUUUUUUGAGGCAGAGUCUGGCUCUGUCGCCUAG
rnacentral:lncRNA from 1 species